rnacentral:rRNA from 1 species
CCCUACGGGGUGCACCAGCGCGCGAAACGCUUCUCAAUGAUGCGAAACGCUUUAYGGGGUUAGUCCCGGAUUCUGCUAAGGCGUCUUUUGYUAGUUNUASAUCAUCCGGAAAAUAAGGCAGGCAAUCC